rnacentral:rRNA from 1 species
GCAGUCGAACGGCAGCACGGGAGCUUGCUCCUGGUGGCGAGUGGCGAACGGGUGAGUAAUAUAUCGGAACGUACCCUAGAGUGGGGGAUAACGCAGCGAAGGUUGCGCUAAUACCGCAUACGAUCUACGGGUGAAAGUGGGGGAUCGCAAGACCUCAUGCUCAUGGAGCGGCCGAUAUCGGAUUAGCUAGUUGGUAGGGUAAAAGCCUACCAAGGCUUCGAUCAGUAGCUGGUCUGAGAGGACGACCAGCCACACUGGAACUGAGACACGGUCCAGACUCCUACGGGAGGCAGCAGUGGGGAAUUUUGGACAAUGGGCGCAAGCCUGAUCCAGCAAUGCCGCGUGAGUGAAGAAGGCCUUCGGGUUGUAAAGCUCUUUUGUCAGGGAAGAAACGGUGGACUCUAAUACAGGUCACUAAUGACGGUACCUGAASAAUAAGCACCGGCUAACUACGUGCCAGCAGCCGCGGUAAUACGUAGGGUGCAAGCGUUAAUCGGAAUUACUGGGCGUAAAGCGUGCGCAGGCGGUUUGGUAAGACAGAUGUGAAAUCCCCGGGCUCAACCUGGGAAUUGCAUUUGUGACUGCCCGACUAGAGUGUGUCAUAGGUGGGUAGAAUUCCACGUGUAUCACUGAAAUGCGUAGAGAUGUGGAGGAAUACCGAUGGCGAAGGCAGCCCCCUGGGAUAACACUGACGCUCAUGCACGAAAGCGUGGGGAGCAAACAGGAUUAGAUACCCUGGUAGUCCACGCCCUAAACGAUGUCUACUAGUUGUUGGGUCUUAAUUGACUUAGUAACGCAGCUAACGCGUGAAGUAGACCGCCUGGGGAGUACGGUCGCAAGAUUAAAACUCAAAGGAAUUGACGGGGACCCGCACAAGCGGUGGAUGAUGUGGAUUAAUUCGAUGCAACGCGAAAAACCUUACCUACCCUUGACAUGUACGGAAUCCUUGAGAGA